rnacentral:rRNA from 1 species
UAAAAACCCCGACUUCGGAAGGGGUGUAUUUAUUAGAUACAAAACCAAUGCCCUUCGGGGCUCUUUGGUGAUUCAUGAUAACUAUACGAAUCGCACGGCCUUGCGCCGGCGAUGGUUCAUUCAAAUUUCUUCCCUAUCAACUUUCGAUGUUUGGGUAUUGGCCAAACAUGGUUGCAACGGGUAACGGAGGGUUAGGGCUCGACCCCGGAGAAGGAGCCUGAGAAACGGCUACUACAUCCAAGGAAGGCAGCAGGCGCGCGAAUUACCCAAUCCCGACUCGGGGAGGUAGUGACAAUAAAUACUGAUACAGGGCCCUUUCGGGCCUUGUAAUUGGAAUGAGUACAAUUUAAAUCCCUUAACGAGGAACAAUUGGAGGGCAAGUCUGGUGCCAGCAGCCGCGGUAAUUCCAGCUCCAAUAGCGUAUAUUAAAGUUGUUGUGGUUAAAAAGCUCGUAGUUGAACCUUGGGCCUGGCUGGCCGGUCCGCCUCACCGCGUGCACUGGUCCGGCCGGGCCUUUCCCUCUGUGGAACCCCAUACCCUUCACUGGGCGUGGCGGGGAAACAGGACAUUUACUUU